AUUGAAUGCUGGCGGUAUGGCUAAAACAUGCAAGUCGAACGGGCCCGCAAGGGUCAGUGGCGAAAGGGUCAGUAAUACGAUCGAACGUACCCCGAGGUGGGGGAUAGGCAGGGGAAACUCUGCAUAAUACCCCAUGUGGUCUACGGACUAAAGGUUUACCGCCUUGGGAGCGGCGAUCGUCCUAUCAGGUAGUUGGCGGGGUAAUGGCCCACCAAGCCUAAGACGGGUAGCGGGUGUGAGAGCACGGCCCGCGACAUCGGAACUGAGACACUGUCCGGACUCCUACGGGAGGCUGCAGUAACGAAUCUUCCGCAAUGGGCGAAAGCCUGACGGAGCAAUACCGCGUGUGGGAUGAAGCGUCUUUGACGUGUAAACCACUGUCAGGGGACGGAACCAAUGAUUGUCCCCAGAGGAAGUGGCGACUAACUCUGUG
rnacentral:rRNA from 1 species